AUUAUGUUCAACUAUUAUUCUUGGAAUUCUAAAAGAGAGCUAGAAAGUUUUUUAACAACGAGAAACUGUAUUUAGUGAAAUUUUUAAAAGAAAAUGUUUUCAAAUUUUAUAAAAGUGUUUUGUUUAUUGCAGAUAUCAAAGCAGAAAAACAUUAUAAAAACAAACAAACAAACAAACAAAAUAGUGGCAUUCCACAAGCCCAGAACUUUGGAGGAGCACGUUCCGAGAUGAGGAAAAAGGGCCUCAAGGACCUAUUCAUAAAAGUUCUUCUCACACAAGAAUGUAAACAUGUCUUCUCUUCCAAACGUGAAAAUGCCUGCCAGACAGCCAGCAUCUCCUCUGCGCAGCCCAGGAUUUCCUGGGACAUGCGUGCAAAUCUGACACGUGAUGUGAAAAGCUACUCACUGGUGGCCAGAUGACCUGAUGGCCCUGCUCCAGCUCUUUACCGUCUUCACUUCCUCGGGGAAGACUUCCCUGGCCUCCCUGAUGAGAUGAUCCCUCCAGUUACAGGUUUGGAUGGCCUCUGCUCACCGUGCCACUUAUCACACUGACCUGUGUGAUACUUGGCUUACGUCUUCACGCUCAAUAGACUAUUGGCUCCAUGAGUAUGAGGACUGUGUUUGCUCAUCACCGACUCUCUACAGCUAACGCCGUUCUUGCUCCUACCAGCAACUCAAAGUAUUGUUGAGUAAAUAAAUGAGUAGCAGUUUUAUGAAAAUACGUUUAUAACUGGCUAUUGACACAGAGCUAGGGAUGAAGUCUCACAACAAAAAUAACCUCAGGAUUUAAAAGUUCUCAUUUGUCUAGAGAGUGUGGUCAAAUCAUGAAAGAUGAAGUUUAACAGAAAUAAAAGCUUAGUCC
ensembl:lncRNA